GUAACCCGUGGUGUAGGGGUAAGCAUGGUUGCCUCUCACCCAGUCGGCCUGGGUUCGAUCCCAGAAGGACC
rnacentral:tRNA from 1 species